GAUGAACGCUGGCGGCGUGCCUAAUACAUGCGAGUCGAGCGAACAGACGAGGAGCUUGCUCCUCUGACGUUAGCGGCGGACGGGUGAGUAACACGUGGAUAACCUACCUAUAAGACUGGGAUAACUUCGGGAAACCGGAGCUAAUACCGGAUAAUAUAUUGAACCGCAUGGUUCAAUAGUGAAAGACGGUUUUGCUGUCACUUAUAGAUGGAUCCGCGCCGCAUUAGCUAGUUGGUAAGGUAACGGCUUACCAAGGCAACGAUGCGUAGCCGACCUGAGAGGGUGAUUGGCCACACUGGAACUGAGACACGGUCCAGACUCCUACGGGAGGCAGCAGUAGGGAAUCUUCCGCAAUGGGCGAAAGCCUGACGGAGCAACGCCGCGUGAGUGAUGAAGGUCUUCGGAUCGUAAAACUCUGUUAUUAGGGAAGAACAAAUGUGUAAGUAACUAUGCACGUCUUGACGGUACCUAAUCAGAAAGCCACGGCUAACUACGUG
rnacentral:rRNA from 1 species